rnacentral:rRNA from 1 species
AGAGUUUGAUCCUGGCUCAGGAUGAACGCUGGCGGCGUGCCUAACACAUGCAAGUCGAACGGAGUUCUUAAGGAAUGCGACUUCGGUCAAAUGACUUUUGAACUUAGUGGCGGACGGGUGAGUAACGCGUGAGCAACCUGCCUUUCAGAGGGGGAUAACAUUUGGAAACAGAUGCUAAUACCGCAUAAGAUUACAGUACCGCAUGAUACAGUGAUCAAAGGAGCAAUCCGCUGAAAGAUGGGCUCGCGUCCGAUUAGAUAGUUGGUGAGGUAACGGCUCACCAAGUCGACGAUCGGUAGCCGGACUGAGAGGUUGAACGGCCACAUUGGGACUGAGACACGGCCCAGACUCCUACGGGAGGCAGCAGUGGGGGAAUAUUGCACAAUGGGGCGAAAGCCUGAUGCAGCAACGCCGCGUGAGGGGAAAGACCGGUUUUCGGAUUGUAAACCCUCUGUUUUUCGGUGACGAACCAAAUUGACGGUAACCGAGUAGGGAGGCCACGGCUAACUACGUGCCAGCAGCCGCGGUAAUACGUAGGUGGCAAGCGUUAUCCGGAAAUUACUGGGUGUAAAGGGAGCGCAGGCGGGAUAGCAAGUCAGCUGUGAAAACUAUGGGCUCAACCCAUAAACUGCAGUUGAAACUGUUAUUCUUGAGUGGAGUAGAGGCAAGCGGAAUUCCGAGUGUAGCGGUGAAAUGCGUAGAUAUUCGGAGGAACACCAGUGGCGAAGGCGGCUUGCUGGGCUCUAACUGACGCUGAGGCUCGAAAGUGUGGGGAGCAAACAGGAUUAGAUACCCUGGUAGUCCACACUGUAAACGAUGA